rnacentral:misc_RNA from 1 species
CUUAAACAUGACAAAACAAAUAAGAGGUACAACCCUCAUCCAACAAAAUCAUGGGUCACUAGACUGUGAACAACACUGACAUAACAGGAGAGUGCCGCAAUAAUCAUCACCUCAACAAUAUGUGGACUAGAACAUAAGGCAAAAAUUUCAAGGAUGCACGAAUAGGGAAGAGUGACUGAGAGCAUGCUGACUAAAGCUUUUCAGAUCUUUCUGUAAAAAUUAAAGACUUAAUAGAGCGUGACCGCCAGGGG